CCCUUUAACCGCCACGGGCCACGAUCGUGGCCCGCAAUAAGUGACUUUUUUUGCGAAAUUCUAAUUCUGCGAUACUUAGGAAGUAGCUCGAACUACGCACAUCCCUGUAUAGAGGAAGAGCUGUAGAAUCACGUGCAAUUUAGUUUAGAAUUUUCCAAGCCACGUUGCUAUGUUAAAAUUUCAUUAGCAUCUUACCGCACGAAGUUUAUAGCUAUGGCUAGAUUGUUUACUUGUGCCGAUGUGCUUGAACAGCUUGAGGACAGCAAUGGCGAUGUCUCCUCUGGUGAUGACAGUGCCUAUGAAGGAGAGGGGAUAGUAGGAUACCUCCCAAAGGCUACCAGCUUUAUGCCAGACGCUGAUGAACUGUCUGGGACUGAUGACAUGCAUGACAUGGACCUAGACGCUAGCUAUGGACCAGGACGGUGAAAGACUAGGAGAGGGCUCACUGUGUGACUCUAGUAAGUAGUAUAGUAUAGCUAGAAUAUCAGUAGUGUAAGUAUAGUAUAGCUAAAAUAGAAUUAGCAGUAAUGAACAGUCUUUAUGUGAGCUUGUAAAUUUCAUAGAUCGUUCACCGAGCCCCACCUUCUCUCUGAUGUCAAGAUAUAUCUUAGCACUGUUACAUUCAUAUGAUGUGAAAAUCAAGCUUAGUCAAGCCUUUAUACCAUAUGAUAGGCUGAUCCAUGAAAAAAAAAUUUUUGGAUUUUAUCUCACCGCUGGCCGGGCAUUUAAAAUGAUAAAAACGGGUGGGCGCAAUAACCGUCGUUGCUAUGGCAACACAUGUUGCACCAUUUUAUUCCUUGUUGUAUGGGAAUUCUAUUGGUAUAUGGUUGCUAGGCAUUUUAUUGCUCUGGAAACCCGAUAGAGAAUUUACAGACAUUUCACUUCACUGUUAAUUAAGAAUCUGACGGUUAAAGGGUUAAUGUGUGACAAUAACAAAUUAUAAAGUUACAGCUAGAACUCUACUAAAAGAUACGUGCAAGUUUGCAUCACUGAUUUCAACCUACUCAACCUAUACUCGAUUACCCUAGCUCGUAAUAAAUUGUCUACACUGAAACAUCUCAGUUGCCCUGAUGCUUAUAUCUUUGCAUGCUCAUGUUCAAUUGUGUAUGUAGCAAUUGGAGACUUGUGACUGGGCAUGGUAAGUUACAGUGGCAGUGAAGAAGUCAGGAGCCUCCAGAGUCCUUCAGUGCAGUGCAGUGCAGGCAGCCUUCUCUCUAUAGCCUCCUUCACAAGGCCUGGCCUGAAGAGCGGCCUGGGAUCGAGCUUCUCUCUAGCCUCUAACUCUAGCUAGUCUCGAGGCCAGGAGAGUUUGGCCUCGAGACUAUAAUUAUAAGCUGGAACUAUAGGUGUGGCAUGAGGGGGCGUUCAGGAAUAACAGGGCGAGGCCUCAAACAUACUUAGCACAUGGUGCUUGCAGCUGCACCAGACUGCAGCUGCUCAUGCAGCUUUAUACCAUCACUGACUGCAUGCCUGUACCCCUGGCCCUGGGCUACCAUGUUCCAUGUACACCAGCUAGGAUCUAGGAGUCAAGAGUCACCUGCAUCUGCAGCUUGAAAGAAAAGACAAUUGCAAAUUUUCUUAAAGAGUAGAUAGUACCACCAUCUCAAAGAAAAAAUUUACAAAUCACUGCUAUACCGUAUCGGCGUAUAACUCCACCAUGUACCAGCUUCAAAGAAAAAGGAUUUAAGUUAUGCUGCUCAUUGCUAAAUAAAUGUGUUUACGUGUUUCUUCCAGCUGCAGAUUUUACCGUACCUCGGCCCCACAAUGUGUACCAGCUAAGCCCGGGAGUCUACUUAACCACCUUCAUCGACUUCAAAGAAACGACUUGCAAGUUAUGUCAGAUUCCAUAAAACUAUAUAGCUAGCUAGAGGGCAACUGUCCCUGGCCUGGUUUCGACCUUCAUCUGUAGCAUACUGAUUUACGAGUUUGUGUCUUCAUGCACUGGUUUCGACUGGUCAACUUCGUCCAUGGGGUGAUAGUUAGUAUACUGAUUUACGAGUUUGUGUGUAUGUGUCCUCAUGUGUCAGUUACACUGGUUUCGACUGGUCAACUUUGUCCAUGGGGUGAUAGCUAGCAUACUGAUUUACGAGUUUGUGUGUAUGUGUCCUCACGUGUCAGUUACACUGGUUUCGACUGGUCAACUUCGUCCAUGGGGUGAUAGCUAGCAUUGUAAUUUACCAGUUUGUGUGUAUGUGUCCUCAUGCGUCAGUUACACUGGUUUCGACUGGUCAACUUCGUCCAUGGGGUGAUAGCUAGCAUUGUAAUUUACCAGUUUGUGUGUAUGUGUCCUCACGUGUCAGUUACACUGGUUUCGACUGGUCAACUUCGUCCAUGGGGUGAUAGCUAGCAUUGUAAUUUACCAGUUUGUGUGUAUGUGUCCUCACGUGUCAGUUACACUGGUUUCGACUGGUCAACUUCGUCCAUGGGAUGAUAGCUAGCAUUGUAAUUUACCAGUUUGUGUGUAUGUGUCCUCAUGCGUCAGUUACACUGGUUUCGACUGGUCAACUUCGUCCAUGGGAUGAUAGCUAGCAUUGUAAUUUACCAGUUUGUGUGUAUGUGUCCUCAUGCGUCAGUUACACUGGUUUCGACUGGUCAACUUCGUCCAUGGGGUGAUAGCUAGCAUUGUAAUUUACCAGUUUGUGUGUAUGUGUCCUCAUGUGUCAGUUACACUGGUUUCGACUGGUCAACUUCGUCCAUGGGGUGAUAGCAUACUGAUUUAGUGUGUAUGUGUCCUCAUGCGUCAGUUACACUGGUUUCGACUGGUCAACUUCGUCCAUGGGGUGAUAGCUAGCAUUGUAAUUUACUAGUUUGUGUGUAUGUGUCCUCACGUGUCAGUUACACUGGUUUCAACUGGUCAACUUCGUCCAUGGGGUGAUAGCUAGCAUACUGAUUUACGAGUUUGUGUGUAUGUGUCCUCAUGUGUCAGUUACACUGGUUUCGACUGGUCAACUUCGUCCAUGGGGUGAUAGCUAGCAUACUGAUUUACGAGUUUGUGUGUAUGUGUCCUCAUGUGUCAGUUACACUGGUUUCGACUGGUCAACUUCGUCCAUGGGGUGAUAGCUAGCAUACUGAUUUACGAUUUUGUGUGUAUGUGUCCUCACGUGUCCGUUACACUGGUUUCGACUGGUCAACUUCGUCCAUGGGGUGAUAGCUAUAGCAUACUGAUUUACGAGUUUGUGUGUAUAUGUGUCCUCACGUGUCAGUUACACUGGUCAACUUCGUCCAUGGGGGUGAUAGCUUAUACUAUUUACAUUUUGCACUACAUAUGUGUUGGUAACUAUAGUGACUUCAAUCUUUGUUCUGUAGGAGCGAAAAUGAUCUGAGGGAUGUAGCGUUCAUGAAACCAAACGAAACGCCUGCAGUUCACUGUACUGGAAUUUCAAGAAACGCUAAGUGAUGAACACUAAAAACAAUUUACUGACAGAAGAAAUUAUUGUGCUGCAUGUCAUGUGAUCCAGUGAUCUUAUUCUAUCAUAAACUCAUUGUUCUAA